CGGCCGCUUCCUCGCCAAUUGGGGCUUCUUCACUGCCACAAAAGUAUUCUCCGACGUUGAAUUCCUCUUCGCCAUUGACGAUGAUUGCGAGGAAACCGAUGAGCGCCGAUUGUGCGUUUCCAUCUUAGGGUUAGGCGAAUGAAAAUCCCUAAUCCGCAAAAACCUCAAUUCUCCAAUUUCUUAAUCGCUUCAAAGUUAAUAACAUCAUAUAUAAAAUGUGUUUGUGGUUGAGUCGUG
rnacentral:lncRNA from 1 species